ensembl:miRNA Mir3473d microRNA 3473d
UGUGCUUAACCCCUGAGCCACUUUCCAGCCCUUUGAAAACUUAUUUGAGGGCUGGAGAGAUGGCUCAGUGGUUAAGAGCAC